CAAAAACUCCAAUCAAACGAAAAUACAACAAUCUGGAUGACUCCAAAAAUGGGGAACUAAAGCCCCGGAGGAAUUGGAGGCGCUUCGAACACUAGAGGAACUACUGAUGGAGCAGGAAGGAGGGAUCCAGGACGGCACUUGAUUUAUUUUUGGUACAACUUAACGCGAAUGAUUGGAAUAUAAGACUGACCCAAACCAUCUCCCAAAGUCAAAUGACAUUUUUGGAUAUCAACAUCAAGACGACCACGGAUGGCACUCUAUCGACGGCAAUUCAUCGCAAGGAUACUGCUGUAAACGCUUUGUUACACGCAUCGUCCUUUCAUCCACAACAUCAAAAACGAUCUAUACCGAUUGGUCAGUUUCUAAGAGCCAAAAGAUUAUGCACUACAACAGAGGACUUUGAAAAGGAAUCAACUCAGCUUCGACAACGUUUUGUACAAAGAGGAUACCACCCUGUGGUUAUUGAACGGGGGUACCAGCGAGCUGUCAAUACAUCACGACAGACCCUCCUCACAACAAAGCCUAAAA